GAGUUUGAUCCUGGCUCAGAUUGAACGCUGGCGGCAUGCCUUACACAUGCAAGUCGAACGGCAGCACAGCAGUAGCAAUACUGUGGGUGGCGAGUGGCGGACGGGUGAGGAACACAUCGGAAUUUGCCCAGUCGUGGGGGAUAACUUCUCGAAACUUACGCUAAUACCGCAUACGACCUUACGGUGAAAGCGGGGGAUCGCAAGACCUCGCGCGGAUGGAUGAGCCGAUGUCGGAUUAGCUAGUUGGUGGGGUAAAGGCCUACCAAGGCGACGAUCCGUAGCUGGUCUGAGAGGAUGAUCAGCCACACUGGGACUGAGACACGGCCCAGACUCCUACGGGAGGCAGCAGUGGGGAAUAUUGGACAAUGGGGGCAACCCUGAUCCAGCAAUGCCGCGUGUGUGAAGAAGGCCUUCGGGUUGUAAAGCACUUUUAUCCGGAACGAAACGUGCGGGGUGAAUAGCCUCGUAAACUGACGGUACCGGAGGAAUAAGCACCGGCUAACUUCGUGCCAGCAGCCGCGGUAAUCCC
rnacentral:rRNA from 1 species